rnacentral:lncRNA from 1 species
CCGGUAAGUAAGAAACAGAAACAGCUUUUAAACUAUUUAGGAGACUGUCUUUGGUCAAACUUGAAUAAUGAACAUCCUUCUUAUUAAGAUGCUGCUUCCUCAUUGGUUUAUGUUGAAACACAAGUGUAAUUUCCUGUCCCCUCACAGUGUUGGUUUCUCAUCUCAGUGCAAGCAGAUUUAUCUGGCUCCUCGGUCGACAAAAUCAUCUCCUCAAGAAACAUGGGAUCCAGAGUCUGCUGGAGGAGACCCACUUUCUGUUGUUAUCAUGUCCUUCAGAUGAGUAGAGGGUGCGGAGUGAGGAAAAGGAGAAGAGGAAUCAUGCCUUGAUGCAUUGAAUGGAGUGACAUCCAAGCACUUCACAAGAGAUUGGCAGCAAGAUGGCAGACUGGGACACCAAGCAGAUGGGACAAAUUCCCAUAAUUCCAGUACCUCCAAGAGGGCUUUCUGUUGUCCUUCAACAGAUUUCCAAUGGUCCCCAUUUCUCUCCCUCUCUGAACUAAAAAACAAAACAAAAACCAAAGACCAACAGCCUCUGAAGCAGACUAACUCUGGCAGUCAUGAAUCAGACAGGGU